UUAAUUGGCAAGGUGAAUCCGUGAGUUAUUAUCCUGCCAAAUACGUCAAAAGAGGACAGCGCCUCUGGACCUCAGCUUAUGCAAAUAAGAGUGUAUGAUGGAUGCAUUUGACACAGCCAAGAGUCCCCGAAAGCCAGCGACACCCAUUCACUUGCAUUGAUAUUCCAUAAAAUAUCUAGUUUUUCCAAGAACCAACCACUCCUUGCGGCCGCAGUUCUAUCAACUCGGCAUUUCAAUCUUCACAAGGGCUAUGGCUAGCAAGACACCAACCUGGGCUGAUCAAUGGGACAACUUAGAUAGCCAAGAUGACGAUGACAAGAACAAGAAAACAAGCGGGAGCAGUGGGAAGAAGAUGACAGAGGUGAAGGCAGCAGCUUCUGCAGGACUUGACAAGGCCAAAGUAGCAGCAACCGUUAGCACCCAAAAGGUCAAGAGUGGAACCUCAGCUGGGAUGAAAUGGGUCAAAAAUCAGUAUCAGAAGUUCUCCUCCAAAUGAGUUGAUCACUGCUCCUUAUAUGUGCUUCUACAGGUUUCUGCUCUGUUAGCUUGAGAAGUAGAAUGGAUCCAUUUGCACAGGUUGCCUAUAAUAAUGAAACACUCAAACUCACUGGGCAUUGUAAAUCACAUUAUCUAUGCAUCUCUGGCUUUCUUUUCUAAGGCCACUUGCUCUUGUUCAGACGGCACAAGCCGGUUAUGUUUUUUCCUAAACUGAAUCAGUAAGCAAGAAAUUUGGGCCAAGGGAAAGAGAAUUCUUUCAAACAUACAAGUGAGGUGGGAUUUAUAGAUACUCACCCAUGCCCAAAAAAUGUAAAUGCAGAAAGUAGAAUUUGAUUGUCUUAGUUAUUACAAAUUGCAGGAAAAAUAUAUUCCCUAAAAGAGAACAUUGUGCUAAAGGAAAGAGAAUUUACAACUUAUCGUGAGUCUUCCUGUCAUCUUGCAUUGCAAGCUUUGUUCACAUAGA